CCUUACGUAAAGAUUCUCUUGAUGAGUGCCCACACAGAUUGAUUAGGUUUAGAAAGAUAAGAGUAUCUUAGUGUCCCGUUCGUCUAGAGGCCUAGGACACCGCCCUUUCACGGCGGUAACAGGGGUUCGACUCCCCUACGGGAUACCAUCUUUAAGCAUUCUUACGAGUGUGUUUAAAAAUGGUUUUCGUAAACUCUUUGUUUAUAAAAACUCUUGCUCUUUAACAAUUUGGAAAGCUGACAAAUAACGAUUUGAUUAAUCGUUAUUUAUUAAAAGUUCUCAAAUCCUAUGUCUCUUAGAGAUGUAGGUACCAAUACACAUUCAAGUGUUCUUGGGAAUAACAUCAUUGAUGUUGUUCAUAUUUGAGUCCGGCAAAAUCGAAAUGUCUCUCGCUCAUUCAAAUAAUGAGAGACAACUAAACCUUGGUUGUUUGCCAUACAUAAGACCUCUUGGGGUUGUAU
rnacentral:tRNA from 1 species